rnacentral:lncRNA from 1 species
GUGCCCCUCAUGCUUGCCUUUCCUCCGACCCCCAGGUGAGAAGACAGGAGGGUGGAAUGAAAUGUCAGAGAUGAGCCUCCAAACACAUAAAUGCUCAAGAGAACCUGAAAAUUAGUUAGAAACCAUCUCACCCAUCCCAAUUGUUUAAUGUCAAAGGCUUCAGAGGCAUAGAUUCAAUCAACAAGGAAGAGGAAGCCAAGGAGUAAAUGAAUUAGAAGUCACACCUUGCCUGCCAUUUUUCUUCCUGGGGUGAGACAUAUCAUAAAACAUUUACAGUUUCUUUGGUGCUAGCAAUCAAUGUAAAGUGCCAUUUGUAUACAGCUCACAUCUUCCCAAACUAGGGGAAGCCCUGAAAAACCUUCCUAAUGUCAAGCAGUAAUUGCAUUUUUAUAACAUUAAUCACCUUUUAUCAUUACUUUUCAAUUUGUUGAGUCAAAUGCCACAUUUGCUAGCAUUAGGCUUCUGUACUGCCUCUGCAUUAAUUACACAGACAGAUUGAAUUUGUUACCAUGUUGUUAAGACCCAGCACAUAAAUAAAAAUAAGUGGACUUCCUUUCUCAAGGUUCUAAUAAUAGGUUAGGGCAAGACUCCGAUUAGUACUUGUCACAUCAUCCAAAGAGUAUGAUGAAAGCUUCUGGGGCAAUGGGGGGAAAUGGACUGUGAAUUCAGAAAUUAUUCCUGCCACCUGAGGCAGUUCCUGGUGCACUUGAAAGACAAGGGUGGGGCAGUCAUUACUAUAGCAGGGCAUCUGGCUGCUUUAGCUCUUUGGUUCCAGGCUUCUGGGGUGAAGAGCUUCACUGGUGACUUCUGUGUUAAGAAGAUGUUAGAAGGUUGGGACAAGGCGUUCCUGCCUGUCCCUGACAAAUGCAGACCUAUCACACCCAAUGUCUUAAUGCUGCUUCUGCCUCAAUUCUAGUUCCUUUGUUCUCCUUUCGCAGUUGUUUUCUGCUGUUGCUUUGGUAGCAUUUUAUGGGCCAUUCUGGACUAGGCAUGUUGCUGGAUGCUAUCAGAGUCAUAUUGUAUGGACACUCCAUCUUGUUCUGGGUAUACAGAACAGCUGCUUCACUGGCCAUUGGGAUGCAGGGAUACCUUUCGGCCCAGGCUACUUGUCAGUGGGUGACAAGGCAGGGGUUGCACAGGGAGGGACUGUUGCCCACCUUUCAUUGCCUGGAGGCAACCUUGCCUCACAAUUUCAUCAUUGACUUGGGUGAGACUGAUUUCAUCCAACAGACAGGAUUCAAGAUCCUUGCCAGCAUGUUGAAUCCGGACACAGGAUCCAGGGUGAAACAAGAUUGUUCCAAGAGUCCAGCACAGCAGUAA